AAAAUGACUCUCGGCAACGGAUAUCUCGGCUCUCGCAUCGAUGAAGAACGCAGCGAAAUGCGAUACUUGGUGUGAAUUGCAGGAUCCCGCGAACCAUCGAGUCUUUGAACGCAAGUUGCGCCUGAAGCCUUUUGGCCGAGGGCACGUCUGCCUGGGUGUCAC
rnacentral:rRNA from 1 species